GUACUUGUGGCGGCGGCUACAGGGCGGGCACGCGCAAUGAAUCCAUCCCUGAACCCUGGUCCCUUGGCCCCCUUUUGGUUUUGAACUUUCUAAUCUCUGCAGUAGGUGGCGUGCAAAAGGAUUGCAUGAAUCGUUUCACUUUCGAAGCUACAAUCCGACGUAAAUUAUUGAAGGUAUAAUUGCUAAUUGUAUGCAGUAAUCAUGUAAUGCUUUUGACCCCAAAAAUUGGGCUCUCUCCUCUCAUGCCGAUUCAUACUCCAAGUGUUCUAACUGAAUUUAUCUACUACUGUCGAACUGAAUUCAGGCACGCAGGGGCUCGGUUUUGUUCUCAUAUUGUCCAGCAAGCAACAAUACUAGUUGUGCAGCUUCCAUUAACAUGUACUGCUUGACUUGUGCAGCUUCCAUUAACAUGUACUACUUGUUCUGAAUUUAGUCAUGUGCUUAUUUCUAUUUAAUUGUAGUGAAACUAGAGACUUGUUUGCAGUUAAUUGUGAAU
rnacentral:lncRNA from 1 species